CGCAUGUGCACGCAUGCGCAGUGCUUUACUAUUACGACCCUGCACGAUCUGCGUUUUUUUUACUUUGCGACAUGAGUUCCCAUCCGAUUUGUCUCGCGCACGCGCUCUCUGCUUAAUUAAAAUUCAUUUCACGACGCUGCCCGAUUUGUUCUGCGCAUGUCGAAUGUUUUACGACACACGAGAAAAAAAGUUACAGCGGGAUUUAAAUUUCUCGGUCUGCAUUAACAAAUAGAACUUCCGGCAUUCGAGUGAGAAGGAGAAAGAAGAACGCCAUAAAGAAUAGGAGCAUAUUGAAUUUUUCUCCGGGAAGAAGAAUAUUUUUCACUUCUUGAAAAAAUGAAGACUUUUCAAUUUUACAAUGACUUGAAAGAAUAUCUUUUACGGGAAGAAUUUAGCAACAAUUUAACGGUCAGAGAGCGAAGUGAAAUACGACGUGUGUCCGUGAAUUUUAUGAUUAAAGUCCAUCAUCCAUGCCCUGGCUGCUCUACAGGGUGUAUCAGGACAGGAGGCAGAAGACUUAUUUCUUGGUGGCCCAGAAUACAGUAUCAGUGAAGUGGAAGAAUUUAACCGAAAGAUAGGGCAGCAAUUAAAGAAGGAAGGAAUGCUGUGAUAUCUGUUGGAAUAGAAGAUGAUGCUACUGCCCAGUGCUUCCAGAAUCCUUCAUUUGAGUCUUGGGUCUGAAUCUACUGCGUCAUUGCCAAGUAUUCUGGGGUAAUGUAUCUUGUUUUGUUUACAUUUUGUUUUUCUCCAUAUUCCAAGCUCAUUUACUUGACCUUAGCUUUAAUAAACUGGAUGGCUGUCUCCUUCACAAUUGAUUUUAAAGUACUAUAUUAUUCAUUACAUAAAAAGCUCUGAACAAUUUAGGCCCUUCCUGUAUUUGGUACUGUCUCUCCCCCAACACUCCUCAGUGUAAUCUUUAAUCCACAAC